rnacentral:rRNA from 1 species
GAUGAACGCUGGCGGCGUGCCUAAUACAUGCAAGUCGAGCGAAUGGAUUAAGAGCUUGCUCUUAUGAAGUUAGCGGCGGACGGGUGAGUAACACGUGGGUAACCUGCCCAUAAGACUGGGAUAACUCCGGGAAACCGGGGCUAAUACCGGAUAACAUUUUGAACCGCAUGGUUAGAAAUUGAAAGGCGGCUUAGGCUGUCACUUAUGGAUGGACCCGCGUCGCAUUAGCUAGGUGGUGAGGUAACGGCUCACCAAGGCAACGGUGCGUAGCCGACCUGAGAGGGUGAUCGGCCACACUGGGACUGAGACACGGCCCAGACUCCUACGGGAGGCAGCAGUAGGGAAUCUUCCGCAAUGGACGAAAGUCUGACGGAGCAACGCCGCGUGAGUGAUGAAGGCUUUCGGGUCGUAAAACUCUGUUGUUAGGGAAGAACAAGUGCUAGUUGAAUAAGCUGGCACCUUGACGGUACCUAACCAGAAAGCCACGGCUAACUACGUGCCAGCAGCCGCGGUAA